rnacentral:rRNA from 1 species
AUUGAACGCUGGCGGCAUGCUUUACACAUGCAAGUCGAACGGUAACAGGCCGCAAGGUGCUGACGAGUGGCGAACGGGUGAGUAAUGCAUCGGAACGUGCCCAGUCGUGGGGGAUAACUACUCGAAAGAGUAGCGAAUACCGCAUACGAUCUAUGGAUGAAAGCGGGGGACCGUAAGGCCUCGCGCGAUUUGAGCGGCCGAUGUCAGAUUAGGUAGUUGGUGGGGUAAAGGCUCACCAAGCCAACGAUCUGUAGCUGGUCUGAGAGGACGACCAGCCACACUGGGACUGAGACACGGCCCAGACUCCUACGGGAGGCAGCAGUGGGGAAUUUUGGACAAUGGGCGCAAGCCUGAUCCAGCAAUGCCGCGUGCAGGAAGAAGGCCUUCGGGUUGUAAACUGCUUUUGUACGGAACGAAACGGCUCUGGUUAAUACCCGGGGCUAAUGACGGUACCGUAAGAGUAAGCACCGGCUAACUACGUG